CAGCGCCACGAGUGGUAACCACGUUUAUUGGGCCUAAAGCGUCCGGAGCCGGUUUGAUAAAUCUUUUGUGAAAUUGUACAGCUUAACUGUACAGCGUGCAAGAGACACUGUCAAACUUGAGACCGGGAGGAGUCAGAAGUAUUCCAGAGGGAGCGGUAAAAUGUUAUAAUCUCUGGAGGACUACCUGUGGCGAAGGCGUCUGACCAUAACGGAUCUGACGGUGAGGGACGAAAGCUAGGGGAGCGAACCGGAUUAGAUACCCGAGUAGUCC
rnacentral:rRNA from 1 species